GAGGGUAUAGCUCAGUGGUAGAGUGCUUGCUUUUAGCGUGCAUGAGGUCCUGGGUUCAAUCCCCAGUACCUCUA
rnacentral:tRNA from 1 species